GAUUCGUAUUAGGGUACCAUCGAUGGCUCCAAUUACUCUCGGAAACCUUGCGAUUUCAUAAAAAUCUUGUGCAGCUUGUUCCAUUUCUGCGCGGUUUUGAUACAUGUUAAUAUAGAUCGGUCGAAGACUAGCAAUUGCAUUGGAGACCCUUCGAAUGAUGCGGGAUGCAGAUGAUUUUGAAAUACCCAUAAAAUCUGCCACUGUUAUUAAUAAGUUACCCGUUGCAUACAACCUGAGAGUAAGUAACAACUGAAUAGUUGGUUUAAUGCUACCUCCUCUAAAAGGAUAUGUAUGAAACAAAAAUCUUUUUAUUAUUGUAAUUAUGUGUGUAUUUUACCUGUUAGAAUGCAAUUUAAUCAGAGGUUCAAUCUUUUCCAAAAGAGCGUAAACGGUGGGCUUGGUUAAACGAAAACGGUCAAAAAAAUCUACAUCGUCGUAAAUCUCAAAAUAAUUUUUUCUUUUUCUAUAAAUUUUUCGUCUUCGCGGUACAUAUUCUUCUUCGUCGGAAGAAGAAAAUGAACUAGAAGAAUCACUGAACACAUUCAUUUUGUGUGAUUCAAACAACACUGACAAAUUUGACGUUUGUUAAAGCCACUUUAACGAAUUAAAGGAAGAUAUUGCAGGCUUAAAAAUUUAAGGCACUUUAAGCCAAUUUUUAAUUUUAGUGUAUUAUGAAACGCAUUUUAUGAAUUAAAGUCACUUUUAAAAGUUAAAGUUCCUUUAAAUUGAUUAUGAAACUGGCCCUUAGUAACAGAAUACGAAAAUUCGUUUACCAACGAAAAGCGUUCAUUAACGAUAUUGUUCAGAGUUACAGAAUAAGGGUCUUUUAGUGUUGAAACUUUCAAUGCAACGAGAAAUGUCAACCAACGGCUGUCACAGUGUCACAUUCGGCGUUUCUGCGUUGUUCCAGAAGGUUCUUUGACUGUAUUACUGUUUUAUGGUUUGUUGGCUAUAUAAUCUAAAGACAUAUUAGAAUGGCAGAGGAUAUAUAUAUCAAGCCAUUUUAGCAAAACUAACGAGAGAGGAGAAAGCUGUAUUGGAACUUAGGAAAAAACUGAUGGAGUUGGAGUCGUUGGAUAUCUGGAAAAAUCUAAGGAAUCUCUGGAACAAACUAUGACCCAAUUGAAUUGGGACAAACUAGAGAGAGCAAACCUCAUUAACGUUAGAGGAUUUGUUGAUUAUUUCGAUAGUAAUAGCUUGAAGAAGAGUAGCAUCCUUGAAAGAACUAGCCAAUUUGUAGACUUCAUAAAAAGCAAAACGAAAGAAUAAGAGCAAUGGGGAUUAACAAUACUUGGCUUUCAAAGGCAAUUCCCGAGGUUGUACAACAAAUUAUGCCAAAAUGCUCACCCCAUAUUUAAAUCAAUAAAUGUCUUGGUAUUGUACGAAAGCGCUCUCGAACCUAUUGAAAUAAAAAUGUUGGGUUUCAUGUGGGAAGCACAACGAUUGCCAAAAUAUUUUUUUUUAUUAAAAAUGAUGAAAAUUCCGAGCAAAUGAUAAGUGUAUUUGAAAUGUACAAAGUAGUAAAACAACAAAAUCAUUAUUUUGAAAAUUAUUUUUAAGUCCUUGUUAAUUUCAUUUUUGUGUUAUUUUUUGUUCUUGACAAGGUAACUUUGUGAUUAAAAU